rnacentral:rRNA from 1 species
GAUGAACGCUGGCGGCGUGCCUAAUACAUGCCAGUCGAGCGAACAGACGAGGAGCUUGCUCCUCUGACGUUAGCGGCGGACGGGUGAGUAACACGUGGAUAACCUACCUAUAAGACUGGGAUAACUUCGGGAAACCGGAGCUAAUACCGGAUAAUAUAUUGAACUGCAUGGUUCAAUAGUGAAAGACGGUUUUGCUGUCACUUAUAGAUGGAUCCGCGCCGCAUUAGCUAGUUGGUAAGGUAACGGCUUACCAAGGCAACGAUGCGUAGCCGACCUGAGAGGGUGGUCGGCCACACUGGAACUGAGACACAGUCCAGACUCCUACGGGAAGCAGCAGUAGGGAAUCUUCCGCAAUGGGCGAAAGCGUGACGGAGCAACGCCGCGUGAGUGAUGAAGGUCUUCGGAUCGUAAAACUCUGUUAUUAGGGAAGAACAAAUGUGUAAGUAACUAUGCACGUCUUGACGGUACCUAAUCAGAAAGCCACGGCUAACUACGUG